ACCUGGUGAUGUGGGCAUUUACAGAGCAUGUCCCUGAAGCGCUUUCAAGUCUCAAAAAAGAGUUCCCCAUCCAUUUGUGAGAAACUUGUGAUGGCUCUUCGAAGCU